GCAACUGGAUAGCUCAGUCGGUAGAGUAUGAGGCUUGUAAUCUCAGGGCUGUGGGUUUGAGCAAACAGAUUAGUGUGAUGCA